rnacentral:rRNA from 1 species
GACAGAGGGUGCAAACGUUGUUCGGAAUUACUGGGCGUAAAGCGCGUGUAGGCGGCUAAGUAAGUCGGGCGUGAAAUCCCACGGCUCAACCGUGGAAGUGCACUCGAAACUGCAUAGCUAGAGUCCUGGAGAGGAAGGUGGAAUGCUUGGUGUAGAGGUGAAAUUCGUAGAUAUCAAGCGGAACACCGGUGGCGAAGGCGGCUCACUGGACCGGUAUUGACGCUGAGGCACGAAAGCGUGGGGAGCAAACAGGGAUU